UACGUAGGUGGCAAGCGUUAUCCGGAAUUAUUGGGCGUAAAGCGCGCGUGGGCGGCGAGAUUAGUCUGAUGUGAAAGCCCCCGGCUCAACCGGGGGAGGUCAUUGGAAACUGUUUCGCUUGAGUGCAGAAGAGGAGAGUGGAAUUCCAUGUGUAGCGGUGAAAUGCGCAGAGAUAUGGAGGAACACCAGUGGCGAAGGCGGCUCUCUGGGCUGCAACUGACGCUGAUGUGCGAAAGCUUGGGGAUCAAACAGG
rnacentral:rRNA from 1 species